ACUUAGUUUGGCGAUGAGGCUCGCUCAACCGUCAUGUGACUGAUAGCUUCUACUAUUUU
rnacentral:ncRNA from 1 species